GAUGAACGCUGGCGGCGUGCCUAAUACAUGCAAGUCGAACGCAGUGGGGACGGGUGAGUAACACGUGGGUAACCUCCCAUCAGACGGGAUAACACUUGGAAACAGGUGCUAAACCGCUACUGAUGGAUGUACUAGCGGUGCAUUAGCUAGUUGGUGAGGUAACGGCUCACCAAGGCUACGAUGCAUAGCCGACCUGAGAGGGUGAUCGGCCACACUGGGACGGAGACACGGCCCAGAAUCCUACGGGAGGCAGCAGUAGGGAAUCUUCGGCAAUGGACGAAAGUCUGACCGAGCAACGCCGCGUGAGUGAAGAAGGUUUUCGGAUCGUAAAACUCUGUUGUUAGAGAAGCGGUAUCUAACCAGAAAGCCACGGCUAACUACGUGCCAGCCGCCGCGGUAAUUC
rnacentral:rRNA from 1 species